UCUGCCGUGAAGCCUCGCCUCGACAAAGACCGUCACAACAAACAACGCCUGAGUGAGAAACACUUAAAACAGUCUGAUGGUCUUUAUAGACGCCAGACUCUGCCCAGAGAGGCGUCUGACAGGCUCUGCAGGCAGCUCUGAGAGGAGCACGUGUGAAACUUCAGUCCACCCUCAGACUCCCCCUCAGGGAGAGGAGUCCGUUCAGGUCCUCCUUUUGUCCUCGUUCCGGUCGUUCUGUGGGGAUGUAAAUAUCCACGGGAGACGAAAACAAGGAGCGUGGAAGUCCAACUCCAGGUGUGGGUGCUGCACCUCUCUUCACCGACGGAUCACUGUCAGGACCAACAACCAGACCAGAGGGGAAGUCACUUUAACGCCUGAUUGGACGAUACUUCUUCUUCUUCUUCCCCCCCAGAGAGGGGCGAUAAAGCACUCCUCACUGCAGGCGAGGAGGAGAGAACGUAGGCUGAAGGCCUAAAGCUGCAGCGAAGUGAAAUACUGGCAGAAUUUAAAGUGCGAUCAUCAUUUAUUUACCGCCCUGGGGAGAAGGCUGCCAAAAUAUAUACAGUGAGAGAGCUAAAAUUUCACUACUUUCAAUUGGUAUCGACAAGUAAAACCUCCCAUAAAAAAACCACUGCAGGACGUCACUCAAACCAAACGAAGCUGCAGCUGGAGGACGGACACACACACGUCUUCAGAGACAGACACUCAGUGUUAAUGGAGAACUGAGUGACCUGUCCAUCACAGUAAACUGACAUGGUCAUGGGGGACGGCUAAUACCACCAAUCAAAGGCAGAUACUUCAGUGAACCUGUUACCACCUGAGGUCACUGUUCUCCCCUCGUCACUCAUCACCACUCUGUACUGUCUGCUCCACCUUGUCACAGUGUUUUUUUCCUCAUCCUUCAGUGUUUUCUUUUCGUUAUGUCACAGCAUGUGAGGCCACAGUGGGAGAGAGACGUGACGGAGUUGAGUUGAGGGUGGAGGAGUGACGGAGCGACUUUCAACUCCACAAACAAAAUAAAUCACAACUGACAAAUGACUUUAAAGCACAGGUUAAAAUAUAUAUGUAUAUAUAUAUAUAUAUAUAUAUAUAUAGAGAGAGAUGUUAUACAUAUAUAGAUUUUAACCUGUGAUUUAAAGUCAUUUGUUGUGAUUUAUUUGGGCCUCGUUCUAAGAAAAGUAGUUGAAAGUUGCUCCAUAUAUACAUAUAUUUAUAUAUAUAUAAACCUGACAAAGCAUAUAUAUAUAUACAUAUAUAUAUAUAUAUAUGAGUCUUAGGGGCAGAGGCGUGUGCGACAGGAUGGGGUUUUUUUGCGUCAGUAUUUCUGUCGAUCUGGGACGUGUGAAGGGAGUGGAGAUUAUCCUGGUGCUGUGAAGAGACGGUCCUCAGGCUACAACAAAGACCAUGAGGUUUCUGAGGUUUUUGGUCUGACACUGAGGACCAGACUGUCUGUCACAGAGGGCUUUUGGUGCCAGAAAGAGCGGGGGUGUACGGGAAUGUGAGUGCUUUUGAAGAGCACACGUGUGUGGACACUGGUGUUCUGACAUGAACAGAGUAGAGUGUGUGACGACCUGCAGAAAUAUUACUGUCAUACUGUUGGUCCAUUAGAAGUUUUUGCUUUUACAGG